rnacentral:rRNA from 1 species
AGGACGAACGCUGGCGGCGUGCCUAACACAUGCAAGUCGAGCGGAAAGGCCCUUCGGGGUACUCGAGCGGCGAACGGGUGAGUAACACGUGAGUAAUCUGCCCCUAGCUCUGGGAUAGCUCCGGGAAACCGGGAUUAAUACCGGAUACGACCACCUUAGACAUCUUUUGUGGUGGAAAGAAUUUCGGCUAGGGAUGAGCUCGCGGCCUAUCAGCUUGUUGGUGGGGUAACGCCUACCAAGGCGACGACGGGUAGCCGGCCUGAGAGGGCGACCGGCCACACUGGGACUGAGACACGGCCCAGACUCCUACGGGAGGCAGCAGUGGGGAUAUUGCGCAAUGGGCGAAAGCCUGACGCAGCGACGCCGCGUGGGGAUGAAGGCCUUCGGGUUGUAAACCCCUUUCAGCAGGGACGAAGCGAAAGUGACGGUACCUGCAGAAGAAGCGCCGGCUAACUACGUGCCAGCAGCCGC